rnacentral:rRNA from 1 species
AAUAUUGCACAAUGGGGGAAACCCUGACGCAGCGACGCCGCGUGAGCGAUGAAGGUCUUCGGAUCGUAAAGCUCUGUCCUUGGGGAAGAAGGGCUUCGGCCUUGACGGUCCCCAAGAAGAAAGCCCCUGCUAACUUCGUCCCAGCAACCGCGGUAAUUCGUAGGGGUCGAGCGUUUGCCGGAAUUACUGGGGGUAAAGGGUGCGUAGGCGGCCCUUUAAGUCAGAUGUGAAAGGCCACGGCUUAACCGUGGAACUGCAUUUGAAACUGGAGGGCUUGAGUGUCGGAGAGGGUAGUGGAAUUCCCAGUGUAGCGGUGAAAUGCGUAGAUAUUGGGAGGAACACCAGUGGCGAAGGCGACUACCUGGACGAUAACUGACGCUGAGGCACGAAAGCUAGGGGAGCAAAC